GUGUUCACUUCAGCAUCACAUAUACUAAAAUUAGGAUGAUACAGAGAAGAUUAGCGUCAUUCUUGUGUAAGGAUGACAUGCAAAGUCAUGAAGCAGACCGUAUUUUU